GGCAGAGCCCUAGGCCGAUCUUCCCUUCCUUCAGGUCGGCAUUGAAUGAAUCUGUCGAGCCGACCUCGUCUGAUGAGCUCUUCGAUCUCGUCUCGGAGCUGAAUACACUCCUCCAUAUCGUGGCCGUGGUCACGAUGAUAGAGACAGAAUUUGUUCGGGUUGUGCUUUUCGGAGUGCGAGCGCAUCCUCUCUGGCCUUGGGAGCUGCUCCCUAACCUCCAUCAGCACUUGAGUUUUCGAUGCGUUGAGAGGGGCGUAGCUGUGGAAUCUUCCGGGAGGAGAGCCUCACCGAACUCGACGGUCUGGGCUUCUCUGUUUAUGAGCUCGGGGAGAAGUCCGAACGUGCCUGUGCCCGGGAGGAGUUCGAGAGUGUGACCGAGCUUCACUCGGCCCUUUUUCAACUGCGGGCUUGCUCGAGUCUCCCGCUUGCCGCUCUCUCGCGGUCUCCUCGUCCUUCAUCUUGAAAGCUUCUUCUACUCGGGC
rnacentral:lncRNA from 1 species